CCGCGAGAUUGCGGAGGUGCAUCUGUUGUUCCCGGCGAUUGUAAGACAUCUUCUGUUUCUCAUCGUGGAGGCUGCAGGCAAGAUGGUUUGCAAUGUAUGGAUACAUAUGCAGAGGCUACUGAGACAUUUGUGUUGUAUCUAGAGGAGAGGAACAAGAAAAGGCUUAAUCAGUUGGUUCAAGUACUAGAGACUAGAGAGAGUUUAUUGAAGAAGCAGCAUACUAAAACAGCGUCUAAGUUCUUAGUAUGCUUCUAAACUUGUCUCUGAGGGCAUCGAAGAUGCAACCGCAGGCUUCUCUAUCAACUUAUGGAAAUUCAAGAAUCAUGGCAUGGCAUGUCUCCCAGAUUGCAAAUCACCCAUCUUCACCAUCCCUUGUUCAAAAGCUCUGAAGAACUCAGCUUGGUCCUCAC